AGGACGAACGCUGGCGGCGUGCCUAACACAUGCAAGUCGAGCGGAGUCAGUAAGAGGAAGUUUCGGAUGGAAUCUUAUUGAUUUAGCGGCGGACGGGUGAGUAACGCGUGAGCGACCAACCUUGCACAGGGGGAUAACGGACCGAAAGGUUCACUAAUACCGCAUGAGACCACGGUGUUGCAUGACACAGAGGUCAAAGGAGCAAUCCGGUGCAAGACGGGCUCGCGUCCGAUUAGGUAGUUGGAGGGUAACGGCCCACCAAGCCUAUGAUCGGUAGCCGACCUGAGAGGGUGAUCGGCCACAUUGGAACUGAGAUACGGUCCAAACUCCUACGGGAGGCAGCAGUGGGGAAUAUUGGGCAAAUGGGGGAAACCCUGACCCAGCAACGCCGCGUGAAGGAAGAAGGUUUUCGGAUUGUAAACUUCUGUCCUUGGUGAAGAGAAGAAGACGGUAGCCAAGGAGGAAGCCCCGGCUAACUACGUGCCAGCAGCGGC
rnacentral:rRNA from 1 species